CGCUGGCGGCGUGCCUAACACAUGCAAGUCGAACGGAGUAUGAUUCUUCGGAGUUGACUUAGUGGCGAACGGGUGAGUAACGCGUGAGCAACCUGCCUCUUUGAGGGGGAUAACAACCGGAAACGGUUGCUAAUACCGCAUAAGACCACACUGUCGCAUGGCAGAGGGGUCAAAGGAGCAAUCCGCAGAGAGAGGGGCUCGCGUCCCAUUAGGUAGACGGCGGGGUAACGGCCCACCGUGCCGACGAUGGGUAGCCGAGCUGAGAGGCUGAUCGGCCACACUGGAACUGAGACACGGUCCAGACUCCUACGGGAGGCAGCAGUGGGGAAUAUUGGGCAAUGGGCGAAAGCCUGACCCAGCAACGCCGCGUGAGGGAAGAAGGUCUUCGGAUUGUAAACCUCUGUCCUUGGUGACGAAGGAAGUGACGGUAGCCAAGGAGGAAGCCCCGGCUAGCUACGUGCCAGCCGCCGC
rnacentral:rRNA from 1 species